rnacentral:rRNA from 1 species
GUAGGUGGCAAGCGUUGUCCGGAAUUAUUGGGCGUAAAGCGCGCGCAGGCGGUCCUUUAAGUCUGAUGUGAAAGCCCACGGCUCGACCGUGGAGGGUCAUUGGAAACUGGGGGACUUGAGUACAGAAGAGGAAAGCGGAAUUCCACGUGUAGCGGUGAAAUGCGUAGAGAUGUGGAGGAACACCAGUGGCGAAGGCGGCUUUCUGGUCUGUAACUGACGCUGAGGCGCGAAAGCGUGGGGAGCAAACAGGGAUUAGAUACCCUGGUAGUCCACGCCGUAAACGAUGAGUGCUAAGUGUUAGGGGGUUUCCCGCCCCUUAGUGCUGCAGCUAACGCAUUAAGCACUCCGCCUGGGGAUACGGCCGCAAGGCUG